rnacentral:tRNA from 1 species
AGUAAAAUAAGCUAAUUAAAAGCUAAUGGACUCAUAAUCCAUCAAUGAGAAACCCUCUUUUGCUU